rnacentral:rRNA from 1 species
GAGUUUGAUCCUGGCUCAGGAUGAACGCUGCGGCGUGCUUAACACAUGCAAGUCGAACGGAGAUGUACGCUGAAGAAGCUUCGGUGGAUUCUUGUGCAUCUUAGUGGCGGACGGGUGAGUAACGCGUGGGCGACCUGCCUCACACAGGGGGAUAACAGCCAGAAAUGGCUGCUAAUACCGCAUAAGCGCACAGUGCUGCAUGGCACAGUGUGAAAAACCGAGGUGGUGUGAGAUGGGCCCGCGUCUGAUUAGCUUGUUGGCGGGGUAACGGCCCACCAAGGCAACGAUCAGUAGCCGGCUUGAGAGAGUGGACGGCCACAUUGGAACUGAGACACGGUCCAAACUCCUACGGGAGGCAGCAGUGGGGAAUAUUGCACAAUGGGGGAAACCCUGAUGCAGCGACGCCGCGUGAGUGAAGAAGUAUUUCGGUAUGUAAAGCUCUAUCAGCAGGGAAGAUAAUGACGGUACCUGACUAAGAAGCCCCGGCUAACUACGUGCCAGCAGCCGCGGUAAUACGUAGGGGGCAAGCGUUAUCCGGAUUUACUGGGUGUAAAGGGUGCGUAGGUGGCAUGGCAAGUCAGAAGUGAAAGCCCGGGGCUCAACCCCGCGGACUGCUUUUGAAACUGUCAGGCU